CAUGUCUUUUAGAUUAUAGUUUAAAGUCGGGUCUGCUCAAUGAUUAUUAAAUAGCUGCAGUAUUUUGACUGUACAAAGGUAGCAUAAUCAAUAGUUUCUUAAUUAGGAGCUGGAAUGAAUGAUUUGAUAAAGUAAGUUUUGUCUCAAAUUUAAUAAGAUUAUAAUUUUUUUUCUAGUAAAAAUACUAGAAUUAUUUUAAAAGACGAGAAGACCCUAUAGAUUUUUACAAUUUAAUUUUUAAUAAAUUAAAACAUAAAUUGUUAUUAGGAUUUGAGUUGUUGGAUUGGGGAAAUUAUUAAAUUAAAUUAAUUUUAAUACUUCUUUAACAGAAAUUAUUGGACGAAUGAUUUUUUUUUAAAAGUUAAUAGAAUAAAUUACCUUAGGGAUAACAGCAUAAUUUUUUUGGAGAGAUCUUAUUGAUAAAAAAGUUUGUGACCUCGAUGUUGAAUUAAGAUAAAAUUUUAAUGGAGAAGUUAAAUAUUUUUGGUCUGUUCGACCAUUAAAAUCUUACGUGA
rnacentral:rRNA from 1 species